AAUAAACGCUGGCGGUGUGCCUAACACAUGCAAGUCGAGCGAGAAAGCUCCUUCGGGAGUGAGUACAGCGGCGAACGGGUGAGCAACGCGUGGGAAUCUACCCUUCAGUGAAGAAUACCCUUGAGAAAUCGAGGUUAAUACUGCAUACGUCCUGUAAAGGAGAAAGAUGGCCUCUUUGCUGUCGUUGAAGGAUGAGCCUGCGUACUAUUAGCUAGUUGGUAGGGUAACGGCCUACCAAGGCGAUGAUGGUUAACCGGCCUGAGAGGGUGUACGGUCACACUGGAACUUAGACACGGUCCAGACUCCUACGGGAGGCAGCAGUGAGGAAUCUUGCGCAAUGGGCGAAAGCCUGACGCAGCGACGCCGCGUGAGUGAAGAAGGUUCUCGGAUCGUAAAACUCUGUUGUGAGGGAAGAACAAGUACCGGAGUAACUGCCGGUGCCUUGACGGUACCUCAUUAGAAAGCCACGGCUAACUACGUGCCAGCAGCCGCGGUAA
rnacentral:rRNA from 1 species